UUUUUUUUUUUUUUUUUAACACCCGCGAGGAUUAACAAAUAGACGGAUGGACAUUUCUCUAACCUGAUUGUUGUCCAACAUGCCACUGCAGGAUUAUUGCGGUCUGUUUCAGGACUAAGGAUAUAAAGAUGAUAUUUGCUGCUUUGCCCAAAUCUGUCGUUCUCGGACUAGUGUCAUCUGGUUGUGGCGUUAGCUCUUUCCACACGAUGAGUACAUGUUUUUGAGCCAACGACUUGGUCAUGUUACUAAGGAUGGACCAGACUUGGACCUACAGGAGCAUUUUCUCGGGGUGAUUCAGAAAGAUACGAAGCUGAUACUGCAAUGGAUGAAAACAAUUUCAAUAUCUUGAAAGACCGUGCUGGAAAGCCUGGUCUAACAGAAAAGUCUGGAUCAUUCACUUCAGAAGAGGAGAAGAAGGCGUGCGUAUCCUGUACGACAGAAGAUCUGAACACGAAUGGGUCGUGGUCACAGAGGACCAUCUGUCAUUUACUCAGAAGCACCUUCAAUCCUCGUAUGAAAUGGUUGUUACCAGACCAUAGUCAAGAUGAUUAUGAAGGAGGAGAAGAAAAUUUCGUCGUGGCCUGCAACUUAGUGUCCAGAUCUUCUGCUCGUAUCCUGCGUUUGCAACAUGUUCUUACAAGUGUGUCAAUGCAGUGGCAGCCUUUCAGCGGGGCACAAAUGGGUUCUCCCAAGAUCUGUGUCAAGGGCAGGACUAUGUUAGGUGAUAGUGUUCUCCUCGUGCCCGCUUCACCCUUCCUGAAUAAGCAUUACCAAGCUCUGUGGAAGCUCUUGGAGCAGAGAUCACUGCUGCUCUUCAUCCACGAGUACACGAGGAGGGCUCAUUUAACUACUGCGUACAUCUCAAAAGUGGGCCACCUGCUUGAGGAUCACUUGAGGAAGUCACACCUCUCAUCUAACCUGAUGCCACACCUCUGCUCAUCAGCCAAGGUGCAUCUUGUCUCCUUGUGCCAGGAGUUUCGCAUUCAUCUCAACCACUGGUCUUGUCUUUAUGCAAAAGUCCAGUCUGACCUCUACCUCAGGCGUGCCCUGGCCCAGCAGAACAAGUUGUUGGAAGAAAUUAGACGAACACUUGACUUGCUUGGCCUGCAAGUGCUCGUUGUAAUGGAACGUUAUGUCCAUGCUGUUCUGUUUGCCAUGGCGCAAUCUGAUUCAAACCACACACCAAGGGAAGUCAUGGCAGAUGUUUUAGCUUGCACAGAGCUGUAUAACAAGGCACUGGAUGAGCAGAGAAUACAGUACGGCACCACCCAUCUGAGGACUAAAUUAUUACAACAGAUUUGUUACACCACGCUGACAAACAGUCUGAGACAUCAACCUGCUGCUGUCUCAGUUAAAGACCUGCUGAGUAUUAUGGCAGCACAUCACGCAAAUACGGCAGCCAAUCAACUCCAUUUGUGGACCGCACAGCAAUGUGUUUGUGAAUCUCAUGCAAAGCCGGGAAUUUCUGCCCUCUUGCUGUCCAGAUCCCCUUCAAUGUUAACUUGGGAGCUGUUACAGGAUACGUUCUUAAACUCUUGCUCCUCCUUUCACACCUGCCAUCUUCACACCCCCAAACUUCACUUGGAAAACACUGACAGUGAAAAUAAUCAGCAUCAUUCGGAUUCAGAAAAGGCCACAUUUUCCCUCAUCAAAAAUACCCACAGGAAGAACUUAUCCUUUCAGUGCCAAAUAUGUACCUCCAACAAUGGCACAGUACGGACAGAUGUAGACCGUAACAACCCUUUAAGAAACUUUCAACAUUUGCAGGAGUCAAAUCAACCCACCAUUUACUACGAUUUGUCAACUAGCCCAUUGUCAGACUUUUGCCAGCAGGACCAGUUCAAAGUUGAGCUUCUAUUUCAUGUGCUUGUUUCCUCUGGUGACUUGCUCGGCCCACGGCUAUCACAUCCUUUGACACCUGUUAUACAACUAUUUCCUCACACUGUAACAAUAGAGGAGCUACCACCAAAUAGGAAGGCUGAUACCAACCAAAGAAUCAGGGACUGCGGUAUGGAGGGAACUUACCAAGACAUUGUUGAACUGGACAUAACCACCAGGCAAGCAGUCAAUCCCAGCUCAGGCUCUGGACAGCCAAGUCCGAAAAAGGCUGUUGAAGAUGGUCAAAAAGAUAAGGAUGGCUGUGCUUAUCAUCCUCGCUCCGUUCAGUGGUUGGACCUCAGUCAGUCAAUGCUGUUUGAUGAUCUGUUUGGAGAGUACCGCACACUGCUGUGGGCCCGCUGCAGCAAAGCAUUGUGGCUCCAGAUGCAUGUACCACAUGGAGCAAGAAGUACAGGGAGCAUCAAUCUCCAUGACAAUCACAGGAUCUUCCAAGUUCUUCAGAUUUUUAGACAGGUUUCAACCACAGGUGAGAAGAUAACUACUGUGCAGGAUAUACAUCCAAAGGAGUGCAAAGCCAUGCUGGAGGAGUUCAAUGUAAAUAUGUUGGUCAGUGCAGCACAUGCUCAGUGGGACUCUGUGGUGUGCCAAGGUUUGGGAGCAGCUGAAAAAGACAAGUGUCUUCUGACAGCCAGAAAGCAACACAGCAGGUCUUUCGCACUUUCAUCAAAUCAGGAUGACAGUGUGAUGAUGUCUGAGACCGCAGAGUACUUGAUAAAGCUCACUCAGCCUCUGCUGUCCUCUCUUUCUUACUGCAAUGCACCAGGUACAUUGAGCUUCUUCCCAACAUGGCUCCCUUUCCACAGGUUGACUGUUAGCUUGACAUUAGCUACAUUGCAAUUGUCCACAGUGUGGGUCAUGUCAAAGGCCUACCAGUUCCUCUCCUCUUGGAGCCUCAACAAGUUCUUACUCAUCACACAAGGAGACCUCAAAGUGUUGAAAGAGUCAUUGGACAAUUUGGUGAAGCAGACAAAAUCUUUGACGAUGAGUUCAGAGAGUAAUUGUCUUUCCACUCUUCAUAUCCAUAAUCAACUUGGACUGAAGCAGGAGCUCCACAAGGUUGAUGUAGCAAUCUGCGACCUUCAGGCUUUUUCUUCUCUGGUGCUAAAAAACUUUUCCGAUGACUGCAAAAGGAUGUCUGCCCAUCUUUUUGAGCAGACCAUGCCCUCUGCUGGACACUGGAGACUCAACCCCAGGCCAGGCUUUCCUAUUACUCCCAGUGAGUAUGCAUCAGAAGCUGCUCAGAAUGUGAUUGGUCAGGUUUUGGAGGGUGUGGCAUUACUAUCUGAUGAUGUCCGCGUGCAUGCUCUAAGUUUAACCAUGACGGCUUUUAUGGAGGCAUGGAUGGAACACAUCCUGAAACAACGGAUAAAAUUCAGUGUACAGGGAGCGCUUCAACUGAAGCAUGACUUUGACUGUAUCAGAGAAUUUAUCUCCUCUGACAGAUAUGGCCUGCCAGAGGAACUCCUUCAGCAACUACUCAGCCUUAGAGUAUUUCAACAAGUGGACUCUGCGGUAUUAUGUCUACUUCAGCAGCCACAAGUCAGGCCAUAUCUGCAGAGCAGUACCUGGGAGCCUUUCAUACGCUGCUAAGAAUUCUACAACCGAAGCUAGUGGCUGCAAAGGUUGGCAUGCCUGCCACGCAACAAUCUCAAUCAACGAACUCUCUCAGUCCAAAAGAACCAUCAUCCGGGCAGUUCAAGAGGAGAUCUACCCUCACGAGUACGCCUGUCUGCGAAAGAAGGAGAAACUUUCUAAAGACAGCCCUCUCAAAACCUUAGAUUCCUUCAUCUACGCUGUUGGUCUGCUGAGGGUCCGAGGUUGUGUCAGAGAAGCACAGCUCCAGCAGGAGGAGAAAACCCCUCUCAUCACAACUGGCAAACAUCACAUAGCAACGCUCCUGGUUCGACACCACCAUGAGAAGACAAAACAUCAGGGACGACUGUUCACUGAGGGUGCUGUGCGGGCCGCCGGUUUCUGGAUAAGUGGCAGCAAAAGGGGUGUGAACAGCAUGAUCCACGGGUGUGUCACAUGUCGCAAACUGCGUGGCACCCCCCAAACACAGAAGAUGGCCGACCAUCCGCCGGACCGCCUCUCUACCAUUCACAAACGUGGGCAUCGAUGUGUUCGGACCAUGGACCGUAUCUUCACGCCGUACAAGAGGUGGCCUCGCUCACAGUAAGCAGUGGGCAGUGUUAUUUACGUGCAUGAGUGUACGAGCCGUCCACAUCAAAGUCAUUGAAUCCUUAGACACCUCAAGCUUCAUCAACGCCCUCCGGCGUUUCCUUGCCGUCAGGGGCCCUGUGAAGCUCAUCCGUUACGAUCGAGGAACCAACUUUGUCGGCGCUUGUAAAGAGCUGAAGAUCCCCUCGAACGUCGACAACGCUUCGGUCGAGAAGUUCCUCCUGGACCAAGGAUGUGCAUGGAAGUUCAACGUUACACACGCCUCUCACAUGGGCGGUUCAUGGGAGAGGAUGAUUGGAGUAGCACAAAAGAUCCUGGACUCAGUGUUCCUCCAGCUUGGAACUUCGAGACUCAGCCACGAAGCACUCUCCACACUGAUAGCAGAGGUCGCUGCGAUCGUCAAUGCCAGACCUCUGAUUCCAGUGUCUACUGACCCAGACUUUCAUUCUUACUCCAGCAACCCUUCUCACCCAGAAGGUGAGUGUACUUUCAUCCCCAGUCGGUGACUGGAUCAAAGACCUCCACAAGUCCCAGUGGCGCCAAGUCCAACAUCUGGCCCAAACAUUCUGGGAUAGAUGGAAGAAGCAAUACCUCGCAUCACUUCAGCCGCGACAGAAGUGGCAGGCUCCCACCCCAGACAUUCAGCCUGGGAGCAUUGUCCUUCUCAAAGACAAUCAGCUCGUGAGAAACGAGUGGCCUCUGGGACUGAUUACUCAGGUCUUCCCCAGCAACGAUGGCAUGGUACGUAAAGUCGAGGUCAAGGUCUCCAAGACAGACGGGACAAAACUGUACCAGCGUCCCAUCUCCGAGACCGUCCUCCUUCUUGCCCCUGAUAAGAAACAGUCCCGCUAAGAGCAGUGGAGACAGCUUGAGUGCAGCUGUGGGGAGCAGCAUAACCAACCUGAGGGGUAUGGAAGGGGACUACAUGACUCAGUCUAAUUCUUCCAUUCUAAGCACUGGCAUUCCUUCAGUGGACCC